GACGUAGGGCGCGGAGCGUUGUCCGGAUUUAUUGGGCGUAAAGAGCUCGUAGGCGGCUUGUCGCGUCGACUGUGAAAACCCGCAGCCUUAACUGCGGGACUGCAGUCGAUACGGGCAGGCUAGAGUUCGGUAGGGGAGACUGGAAUUCCUGGUGUAGCGGUGAAAUGCGCAGAUAUCAGGAGGAACACCGGUGGCGAAGGCGGGUCUCUGGGCCGAUACUGACGCUGAGGAGCGAAAGCGUGGGGAGCGAACAGG
rnacentral:rRNA from 1 species